rnacentral:rRNA from 1 species
GAUGAACGCUGGCGGCGUGCUUAACACAUGCAAGUCGAACGGAAAGGCCCAAGCUUGCUUGGGUACUCGAGUGGCGAACGGGUGAGUAACACGUGGGUGAUCUGCCCUGCACUUCGGGAUAAGCCUGGGAAACUGGGUCUAAUACCGGAUAGGACGAUGGUUUGGAUGCCAUUGUGGAAAGUUUUUUCGGUGUGGGAUGAGCUCGCGGCCUAUCAGCUUGUUGGUGGGGUAAUGGCCUACCAAGGCGUCGACGGGUAGCCGGCCUGCGAGGGUGUACGGCCACAUUGGGACUGAGAUACGGCCCAGACUCCUACGGGAGGCAGCAGUGGGGAAUAUUGCACAAUGGGCGCAAGCCUGAUGCAGCGACGCCGCGUGGGGGAUGACGGCCUUCGGGUUGUAAACUCCUUUCGCUAGGGACGAAGCGUUUUUGUGACGGUACCUGGAGAAGAAGCACCGGCUAACUACGUG